rnacentral:rRNA from 1 species
UACGUAGGGUGCAAGCGUUGUCCGGAAUUAUUGGGCGUAAAGAGCUCGUAGGCGGUUUGUCGCGUCUGCUGUGAAAACUGGAGGCUCAACCUCCAGCCUGCAGUGGGUACGGGCAGACUAGAGUGCGGUAGGGGAGACUGGAAUUCCUGGUGUAGCGGUGAAAUGCGUAGAUAUCAGGAGGAACACCGGUGGCGAAGGCGGGUCUCUGGGCCGUAACUGACGCUGAGGAGCGAAAGCGUGGGGAGCGAACAGG